rnacentral:rRNA from 2 species
GGAGUCUAGCAUGUGCGCGAGUCAUUGGUAACUCGCUAAAACCAUAGGCGAAAUGAAAGUGAAGGUUCGACUUAGCGCGGACCGAGGGAGGAUGGGUCGCGUCUAGGCGCGGCCCCGCACUCCCGGGGCGUCUCGUUCUCAUUGCGAGAUGAGGCGCACCAAGAGCGUACACGCUGGGACCCGAAAGAUGGUGAACUAUGCCUGGUCAGGACGAAGUCAGGGGAAACCCUGAUGGAGGUCCGUAGCGAUUCUGACGUGCAAAUCGAUCGUCAGAACUGGGUAUAGGGGCGAAAGACUAAUCGAACCAUCUAGUAGCUGGUUCCCUCCGAAGUUUCCCUCAGGAUAGCUGGCUCUCAUUGAACGAGUCUCAUACGGUAAAGCGAAUGAUUAGAGGCAUUGGGGUCGAAACGGCCUCAACCUAUUCUCAAACUUUAAAUGGGUGAGACCUCCGGCUUGCUCGAACACAAACGUGAAGCCGCGAGUUGUUUCCCGUGCGCGCGUGGCGGCGGUUCUCCGUCGUCCCGUGCGGUUAACGCGGGGAACGCAGGAUCAGAGUGCCAAGUGGGCCAUUUUUGGUAAGCAGAACUGGCGCUGUGGGAUGAACCAAACGCAGAGUUAAAGCGCCAAAAUCGACGCUUAUGGGAUACCAUGAAAGGCGUUGGUAACUUAAGACAGCAGGACGGUG